AAUACAAUGGCUUCUGGUCAAUUCAGUCAUAAGAUGUAUUCCUGGCUGGAAAAUUCUGCUAUUUGAAAUCUACAGUUAUACAAGACUGCAAGUUAGACUCUGAAGUUAGGCAGGGUCACAACCCUGGACAGGUAUAGAAUGUAUUCGGUGUUGAGGAGUUUGGACAGCACAGCAGCAGCUGCUCUAGAGCAUAAGCAGAUGGUAAAUGUUCAACUUGAUUAAAUUGACCAGAUGGAAUUGGAUAACAAACUAGAAAUAGUUUGAAAAAAAAGCACAGGUAUGAUGCCUAGAGAUGUAAAAGCCAUUUUACAAGAAUGAGAAUGAGUGCUACAUUUUAAGGAAGGUGGAAUGGAAGGUUAAGAACAGUUAAGAAUGAGGUGAAGACUAAAAAAGGGAAAAUUGUCUUUGUUGAAGAGUGCUUGUCUCCUGACAGUUACUCAGUGAUGCAAUGCUAAAAAGAGCACUGUGCUCAUGGUGGAAAAUAAUUCCCAGGACUUGACAGGAAAGAAUGUACUCAUUCCAUGCCCCAGGCAGAAGUCUGCUGAGACUGAAGAAAGAUAGUUAGUGAGCAAAUUCAUCAAGACCAAUAUCAGGUAUUUCUCCCCUUGGCCUGAUGGCUGAUUUGCUCUCCUCCUGUAAGCAACAAAACUGCAAAACCAGUGCUACAAAACAGAAGCACCUGUAAGUCCGUGGGAGCACAUCUUUGCUCAACAAGAGAUCCUGACAACUAACAACUAA
rnacentral:lncRNA from 1 species